rnacentral:tRNA from 1 species
GCCCUAGUAGCUAGCCUAAAAGCAUCGGUCUGUAAUCCGAAGAUCGGAGGUAAAUUCCUCCCUAGCGCC